rnacentral:rRNA from 1 species
GGGGAAUUUUCCGCAAUGGGCGAAAGCCUGACGGAGCAACGCCGCGUGAGGGAUGAAGGCCUCUGGGCUGUAAACCUCUUUUCUCAAGGAAGAAGAUCUGACGGUACUUGAGGAAUAAGCCACGGCUAAUUCCGUGCCAGCAGCCGCGGUAAUACGGGAGUGGCAAGCGUUAUCCGGAAUUAUUGGGCGUAAAGCGUCCGCAGGCGGCCUUUCAAGUCUGCUGUUAAAGCGUGGAGCUUAACUCCAUUAAGGCAGUGGAAACUGUUGGGCUUGAGUGUGGUAGGGGCAGAGGGAAUUCCCGGUGUAGCGGUGAAAUGCGUAGAUAUCGGGAAGAACACCAGUGGCGAAGGCGCUCUGCUGGGCCAUAACUGACGCUCAUGGACGAAAGCCAGGGGAGCGAAAGGGAUUAGAUACCCCUGUAGUC